UGGUGGAGUGAUUUGUCUGGUUAAUUCCGAUAACGAACGAGACCUUAACCUGCUAAAUAGUCACACCAACCUUGGUUGGUGAUUCUUGACUUCUUAGAGGGACUACGAAUGUUAUAAUUCGUGGAAGUUUGAGGCAAUAACA
rnacentral:rRNA from 1 species